rnacentral:lncRNA from 1 species
CUCCGUCACGCGCUCCACACCUGACCUGAGUCAGCCACGCAGAGACCCGCGAAGGAGCCCAGGCCGGUGACGGUGGGGCUGGGGUUUGGGGAGCCGGGAGGGGUGAGACGGGAGUGCAGGGGCGGGGGACCUGGGCCCAACCCACUUCAGAGGCCGGUAGGGCCCCGGCCGGUUCUGCUUUUUCAACCCGUGAGUCCCCGGAGUGAGUUCUGCACGCGGCCGGGGCUUGGCCGAUGGGCGGAGCUUUCCUUCUGCUCGAGGUGCUCCUGAACCCGCCUCCCGGGCGCGCCUGCCCGCCAGCGCUGCAGUUCGCAGAGCGGCCGCCGGGGGGAGGCGGCGAGGCGGGAAACCAGGCUGCCGCCGGCUCUGCGGCUUUUGCAUUUUCCCUCCAGGGUGAAGGGUCAUCUGGAAAAGCGCGUGCGCCGGCGCUUCCUCCGGAACCGAACGAGCCGGCGAGGCCGCGUCCAGACGGCCGCGCGCCGUGUCCCGGCCCCUCCUCCGGCCCCUGUCGUGACUCAGCUUGUCAUUGACCGUGGCGCCCCCGCAGGGCUCCGGCCGCCCCGGGAGCGUCCUCCGCGCCCUCGUGGGUGUGUUUGGCGCGAACACAGCCGUUCUCAGGGCUCCAGCGCGUUCGUCCAGCUCUUCCGCUGCUGGCGGCGGGCUGGUGUCGGGCUUGGGCCAUCGUGCAUAAGUAGUGUCGCGGGAGCCUUUCGCAGGUGUGGGCACGCGUAUUCGCACUUGCGUUGGGUGUAGACCUGUGAAUGGGAUCGUUGGGCCUCGGGUACUACUAAUUUUUCAGCGUCAGCAGGUACGGCCAGGUGCACCCUUUAAACAUCAGCCCCUUUAUGCUCCCAACGCAGCCCCGGUUGCCUUGCGUACUUUCUGCCUUUUCCGCGGUAGCUACUCAAGUACUUUAGACUUUAAAAAAACAACAGAGGAGUUCCCGCGUGGCUCAGUGGUUAACGAAUCCAACUAGGAACCAUGAGGUUGCGGGUUCGAUCCCUGGCCUUGCCCAGUGGGUUAAGGAUCCGGUGCUGCUGUGAGCUGUGGCGUGGGUCGCAGACGCGGCUUGGAUCCUGCGUUGCUGUGGCUCUGGCGUAGGCCGGCGGCUACAGCUCUGAUUCGACCCCUAGCCUGGGAACCUCCAUAUGCCGCGAGCGCGGCCCUAGAAAAAUACCAAAAGACCAAACAACAACAACACAAACACAGCUUUGUUGGGGUAUAAUUUACAUCCUGUUAAAAGUCACGUGUUUUUAUGUGCAUGAUCCAAGGAUUCUUGGUAAAUUGAUGGAGCUGUGCGACCACCACCAGGAACCAGUUCCGACCAUCUCCACCACGCCUAGCUCUCUCAUGCCCGUUUUAUUCUGUUUUUUAAUCUCAUUCCCCCAGCCCCCAAAGCAGUCUUUGGGCACUUGUUUUGUUGCCAGGCACUUUGCUAAGCAAUAUGGGUGAUUUAAAGAAUCAGAAGACCUGGUCCGUGCAGCUUAGAGAGAGACAGAUGUGCAACCCAAUUGGAGUGACGGGGCGGGGGCGGGAGGGGGGAACAGAGCAGCUGGGCAUGUGUGCCAAGCCAGAGGUGAGGAUUUCUGAAGCUUGAACCGCGAACAUGGGGAGGCAGGCAUAAUGGAUCAAAAGGGAGGAGCCUCCACUUGGCCAUCACCCUCAAACGAAGAGCUUAGCUUUCCAGGCCUUGCCUGAGCAACUCCUGCUCUAGAACUUUCCAGACCACAGCCCUGGAAGAGUCUCUGCCCUUUAGCCCCACAAUCGCCUGGGCUUUGUACAGGUCUGCCAGCCCCCAGGACUGAGCGCUCUGAGAGAGCAGAAAGCUAUGUCAGCCUGAAUCAUGGCUGUCUGUGGAGCCCCCGUAGCAGCCCUGGGCGGUCUGUUCUUGGCCUGUGAUGUGUAAGCUGGCAGCUUCUAUCUUGUUCAAGCCAUUUCUGUGUGUUUCCUGUGGUUGCUGUGACAAAUCACUGCACACGGAGUGGCCUAAGAGCGGCAUGCACUUCUUAUCUCACAGUUCUGGAGGCCAGAUGCUUGAAAUGUGGUCAAGGAGCCAACGAGGGCUCCCUCCCUCCAGAGGCUUUCAGGAAGAACCUGUCCCUGGCCUCUGCCAGCCUCUGGUGGCUGCCAGCCUGUCUUGGUUUGUGGCAUUAUCACUCCAAUCUUUGCCUCCAUCUUCACGGCGCCUUGUGUGUGUGUGUGUGUGUGUGUGCGCGCACGCACGCAUUGUCUCCCCUGCCUCCCACUUAGAAGGACACGUGACUGCACUAAGGCCCAGCCACAUAAUCCAGGAAAAUUGCCUCAAGGUCCUUUACUUGAUCAGAUCUGCCAAGACCCUUUUCCCAAGUAAAGGAAUAUUGGUUCCAGGGAUGAAAGCCUGAUAUCUUCGGGGGCGCCGUCCAGCCUGUUACACCCCUGCUAUUCAUGUCCCUGUUGCUGAGCGCUGAAACAACACCCCAGAGAAUAGAAAAAAUGCAUGUAGGAGUUCCCUUGUGGCUCAAUGGGUUAAGGAUCUGGCAUUGUCACUGCUGUGGCUUGGGUCGCUGCUGUGGCACAGGUUUGAUUCCUGGCCCAGCAACUUCCUCAUGCCACGGGUAUGGCAAGAAAGAAACAGAAAGAAAGAAAAAGAAAGAAAGGUGAGUUCCUGUUGUGGCUCAGAGGGUUAAGAACCAGACCUAGUGUUCAUGAGGAUGUGGGUUCCAUCCCUGGUCUUGCUCAGUGGGUUAAGGAUCUGGUGUCGCCAUGGCUGUGGUGUAGGCCUGCAGCUAUAGCUCCGAUUUGACCCCAGCCUGGGAACUUCCAUAUGCUGCAGAUACGGCCAUUAAAAAAAGAAUCUUGCUGCAUAGCACAGGGAACUAUAUCUAGUCUCUUGUGAUGGAACGUGAUGGAGGGUAAUGUGAGAAAAAAAUAUACAUAUACAUGUCUGGGUCACUUUGCUGUACAGCAGAAAUUGACAGAACGUUGUAAAUCAACUAUAACAGAAAAAAUAAAAAUCUUAAAAAGAAUGGAGUUCCCGUCGUGGCGCAGUGGUUAAUGAAUCCGACUAGGAACCAUGAGGUUUCGGGUUCGAUCCCUGGCCGUGCUCAGUGGGUUAAGGAUCCGGCGUUGCCGUGAGCUGUGGUGUAGGUUGCAGACGCGGCUCGGAUCCUGCGUUGCUGUGGCUCUGGUGUAGGCUGGCGGCUACAGCUCCGAUUCGACCCCUAGCCUGGGAACCUCCAUAUGCUGCAGAAGCAGCCCUAGAAAUGG